rnacentral:rRNA from 1 species
GUGCCAGCCGCCGCGGUAACACGUAGGAGGCAAGCGUUAUCCGGAUUUACUGGGCAUAAAGAGCGUGUAGGUGGUUCGGCAGGUCGGAUGUGAAAGCUCCUGGCUCAACUGGGAGAUGUUAUUCGAAACUGCCGUGCUAGAGGACGAUAGAGGAAGAUGGAAUUCCCGGUGUAGUAGUGAAAUGCGUAGAUAUCGGGAGGAACACCAACGGCGAAGGCAGUCUUCUGGGUCGUUCCUGACACUGAGACGCGAAAGCAUGGGUAGCAAACGGGAUUAGAAACCCCGGUAGUCCAUGCCGUAAACGAUGCGAACUAGACGUUGGUAACGUAAAAGUUAUCGGUGUCGCAGCUAAUGCGUUAAGUUCGCCGCCUGGGGAUUACGACCGCAAGGUUAAAACUCAAAGGAAUUGACGGGUUCCCGCACAAGCAGAGGAGCGUGUGGUUUAAUUCGAUGCUACACGAAGAACCUUACCUGGGUUUGACAUAUAGGUGGUAGAGAGCCGAAAGGUAAUCGACCCUUCGGGGAGCCUAUACAGGUGCUGCAUGGCUGUCGUCAGCUCGUGCCGUGAGGUGUCCGGUUAAGUCCGGUAACGAGCGCAACCCUUGCCGUAUGUUAUAAGUGUCAUACGGGACUGCCGAUAUAAAAUCGGGGGAAGGAGGGGAUGACGUCAAGUCAGCAUGGCCUUUAUAUCCAGGGCUACACACACGCUGCAAUGGCCGGUACAAUAGGUCGCAAAACCGCGAGGUGGAGCCAAUCCUAAAAGCCGGUCUCAGUUCGAAUUGGAGGCUGCAACCCGCCCCCAUGAAGUCGGAUUUGCUAGUAAACGCGCGUCAGCAUAGUGCGUUGAAUACGUUCCCGGGAAUUGCA